AGCGAACGCUGGCGGCAGGCCUAACACAUGCAAGUCGAGCGCCCGUAGCAAUACAGGAGCGGCAGACGGGUGAGUAACACGUGGGAACGUACCCUUCGGUUCGGAAUAACCCAGGGAAACUUGGACUAAUACCGAAUACGUCCGUAAGGAGAAAGAUUUAUCGCCGAAGGAUCGGCCCGCGUCCGAUUAGCUAGUUGGUGGGGUAAUGGCCCACCAAGGCUACGAUCGGUAGCUGGUCUGAGAGGANGAUUAGCCACACUGGGACUGAGACACGGCCCAGACUCCUACGGGAGGCAGCAGUGGGGAAUAUUGGACAAUGGGCGCAAGCCUGAUCCAGCCAUGCCGCGUGGGUGAUGAAGGCCCUAGGGUUGUAAAGCCCUUU
rnacentral:rRNA from 1 species